rnacentral:rRNA from 1 species
CGAACGCUGGCGGCAGGCCUAACACAUGCAAGUCGAACGGUAACAGGUCUUCGGAUGCUGACGAGUGGCGAACGGGUGAGUAAUGCAUCGGAACGUGCCCAGUCGUGGGGGAUAACGCAGCGAAAGCUGUGCUAAUACCGCAUACGAUCUAUGGAUGAAAGCGGGGGACCGUAAGGCCUCGCGCGAUUGGAGCGGCCGAUGUCAGAUUAGCUAGUUGGUGGGGUAAAGGCCCACCAAGGCGACGAUCUGUAGCUGGUCUGAGAGGACGACCAGCCACACUGGGACUGAGACACGGCCCAGACUCCUACGGGAGGCAGCAGUGGGGAAUUUUGGACAAUGGACGCAAGUCUGAUCCAGCCAUUCCGCGUGCAGGAUGAAGGCCCUCGGGUUGUAAACUGCUUUUGUACGGAACGAAAAGGUCUCUCUUAAUACGGGGGGCUCAUGACGGUACCGUAAGAAUAAGCACCGGCUAACUACGUG